CACUUCUUAGCCAUUCACAAGUCACAACUAUUUCAUAGUUGUUUUAGUACAGAAAAUGAGAAAAGUUCAGCUACACUCCAGUCUUGGUGAGAAGAGUCUUUUGUGAUACUUAAAGAGAUGGAUCAAUCUUCAAACUCCAAAACCUCUACAAAGUUGGGAGAGCCAAGGUGUUUAAUAGGAGAUGAAUCAAGCUUGAAGAGAAGGAAGUGGUCGUGGUCUGAAGCCCACCUCCUGGGCUAAGUUCAAAAGAGAAGAGACCUCCUCAGAUCUGAACGAACAUUUGAGAGAGCUAGCUCACAGGUCCAUUGGGCACUACUGAACAGCACCUUCGUCCUCAAUGUGGGCCCUGGGGCUUUAUACAAUAGCUGUGUGUUACUGGUGACUUUUUCUUUCUUUCUUUGUUUUUUUAGAGAGAGAGAGUGUUUGACUAAUGACUUGAACAGCAAGGCAUGAGAAACAUUUUCUGGGGGCCCAUCAAUUUUUCUCAAGAUCGGGAUAUCUCCAUGUUCUUCCACAUCUUUAGGGCAUAAUUGGUUUCCUCAGUUUUAAUAUGUACCAGCUAAUGACAGGCAGGUAUUUUGUUUGAGACUCGCUAUGAAAGCAGUAGCAGUAGGUUUUGAAGCAUUUGGAGGAUAUAUGAUGAGCUAUUUAUCUGAUUUAAGACACACUAAAUUAGGUUUAAUUUGUGAUGAAUCAUUAAACAAUACCCACACCAAUGAAAUUAAAUCUUGAAAGCUUUUGUGCUGGGUUUUUGUUUGGGUUGUAUACAGGAAACUAAAAUCAGAUUUUAUCUAUUAUGAAAAGGACAUGAGCUAAUUAAUUAACAGUUUGGGUUAGGAAACAAGGGUGUAUACAUACAAGAUAAUUAAACACGUCUGUGAGUGUUGGGUUAUUGUCUCGGAUCGAUCAACUCUUAGGGGYUUCACUAUGCUCUUGGGGGGAGCUUAUGCACAUGUCUGCUUGGAUUUUGGAUAUUGGAUAUUGUCAUCACACUAAAAGACUUGUGACACUCUGUUGUGACUGUGCAACUGAUCGAUCGAGCUGAAAGUUUUGACUGAGACCUUUUAUGUAUGCAUGGGUAAUGGGUUCUCUUGAUGGAAGUGAUACAUACACCAUGCAUGCAUCCAACCUGUCUGGAUCCCUUGUGGGGGCUCUAUUACAGUACAAAAUCCAUGCAUUCCAACUAUUUGUUUAUUUGUACGGGAAAGUUAGAAUGAACACGGAACAAUUAAUAUUGCUUUCCAGUGGCCUUCUAGUAACUGAUACUAAGGCUUGAUUUGCGGUCAGAAGGCUGAAGAAGUGCCCCUCAUUCUAAUUUUUGGCUGGGAUCGGAGCUUUUCUAGUUCUCUCUGGGCCCAUGCAGAUACAGUUGUUCCUUAGGCAUGAUUAAAAGCAUCCCUACCUUGGUAACCUGAUGAGCUUUAUAUAAACAAACAAAUGAACUUCAUUUUCAUGUUUGUUUUCGUA